GAUUACUGUUGCAUUACUGCUGCUGGCCCCUUCCUGAGUGCUGACAGAUUUCAAGGAGGAGCUGUACCAAAACUGUUAGUAUUUUCCUCUUUAGUUCUCAAAUUGAGACAUUCCUUGAUCUCCUCAUGACUCCACCUUCUUUUUUUUUUUUUUUUUGAGGCAAUUUGGAAGCCUACAUUCUCUAACUGGCAAUUAAUGAUGGAGACAGAUAGUAAGUGCAUCCAACUGCAAAAGGAAGCAAUACAUUAAGUCAAAUCAGUAUUUAUCUACUGAUCCUUGGCGCUCCCUAAACCCUGGGUCAGGAAUAAAAAAGUGAAUGUGAUCCUUGCCCUACAGGUAGAGAAUGGCAGAGCAACAAAGUGAAAGGAGAUUGGGUCCUUAACUCUAUGGAGCUAAUGUGAUUAUUAGUCCUGACCCAAUUGCUUAGCCCCAGAAUCUUAUAAGAGGGAAACAUAGUUAGAUCUUGUUUAAGCUAAUUUUAUAUUGGGUUUUUAUUGAGGAAGCCAGAACCUGCAACCGAACUAUAAAUCUGCUUUCUCUGUUUUUCUAUAUACAAGAUGGCAAAGGACCACCUUUUUGCUUCUACAUUUACAAGACCUCAGUUGAAAUGAUCAAACAAGAAUUCCAACUUCAAAUGUCCAUAUCUUCGGAAGCUGCUUGGUCUGUCAAAGAAGAUGACAGUCACAAAUAAAGGAGAAAGCCUUUUUAGUCAAGAGUAUUCGGAGGUGUGUUUUCCUGCUAGAUCCUCAAAACAGACGUAAGUAGUGUGUUUAUACGAGAUCUGUUUAGUAGCUAGGAGAGAGUUUGAGAUAAAAGGAAGGUGUCUUAGUCACCUUCCUGCUUUAACAAAAGACCAUAGACUAGGUGCUUAUAAACAACAGAAAUUCAUUUCUCACAGUUCUAGAGGCUGAAAGUUCAAACCUAGGAUGGUUGGGUUCUAGUGAGGACCCUCUUCUUGGCUCGAAGACUGAUGACUCCAUGUAUCCUUACAUGGAGUGGAGAGAACAAGCUAGCUCUCUGGUCUUUUCUUAUAAG
rnacentral:lncRNA from 1 species